rnacentral:rRNA from 1 species
UUUACGGAGAGUUUGAUCCUGGCUCAGGACGAACGCUGGCGGCGUGCUUAACACAUGCAAGUCGAACGGUGAACGAGGGAGCUUGCUCCCUCCGGAUCAGUGGCGAACGGGUGAGUAACACGUGAGCAAUCUGCCCCGAACUCUGGGAUAAGCGCUGGAAACGGCGUCUAAUACCGGAUACGACGCGGGAGGGCAUCCUCUCCGCGUGGAAAGAACUUCGGUUCGGGAUGAGCUCGCGGCCUAUCAGCUUGUUGGUGAGGUAACGGCUCACCAAGGCGACGACGGGUAGCCGGCCUGAGAGGGUGACCGGCCACACUGG